UAUGCACCAGAGGGGUCCCUCGGCCUGGCCUGCACCCUCUUGCAAUCCAGGAUCCCUCGGGGGAUGUUGGAAAGUGGGGGUUUUGACCGAUCCUGCAGGCCAGGCUGAGGGACCCCACUGGUGCACA
rnacentral:pre_miRNA from 1 species